AUGGAGGAAUGAUGAAGCGGAAGUGGAUAAGACUAUCAGUUCUUCGAGAGUCCCAGUGCCUAUAUACUCGCAAGAAGGAUAUGGUAUGGAAUAGCUUAGUACAUCUAUGUGCUGGCAGAUUUGUACAACAAUAAGUUGUUCCAGUGUGAAGAAAGAUGCGUGUCAUAAGACCAUGGAGGAGUGAUGAAGCGGAAGUGGAUAAGACUAUCAGUUCUUCGAGAGUCCCAGUGCCUAUAUACUCGCAAGAAGGAUAUGGUAUGGAAUAGCUUAGUACAUCUAUGUGCUGGCAGAUUUGUACAACAAUAAGUUGUUCCAGUGUGAAGAAAGAUG